UAAUUAAGUCUAUAAAUUUAUACAACUAGUUUUAUAUUUGUGAUCCUAAAUAGUAGAAUUGGUGAACCAUAUGACUUGUUUUUUUUCAGAGAUUUAUGUUGGGCAUUAGUCAUAGAUGAACUUGUGAGAGUUGUCAAAUACAUCAAAAUACAUGAUAGGGUGACGAUAGAGUAUUCUAUACAAGAUAUAGUAGACUUCCUUAAUCCAGAAAAAACUUUAUCGGCUAAAGAACAAAACCCAAAUAGAAUCAAAAUUGGACCAAAACCCUGGAUUGAAAUUAAAACUCCUUGAGCAUCAGACCGUUGCAAGGGAAGAUGAGGCACGUGUGACAGGCUGGAGAAGAGCUGGAUAAAGCAAAAGAAGCUUUAUGCACAAGGAAGAAGCUCAUUGGAUGGUUUGAAUUAAAGCAAACCUUAUGCUUCCAACACUUUGAACGUGAUGACAAGUAAAAUUAGACAACUUUGCCAUGGUUCUCUAUGAUGGUAUCUUCAGUGAUGGUGGAGAUAGUGAAGGUACGGUGAUUGCUAUUAAUGGCUUCAAUCAAUUUGAGAGCUCUCCAUGUUUUGGGUGGACUGUCCGAGUGAUUUUUGCCCACGAGGACAGUACAUCAGUACACAUAUCAGCACGUUGGCCCUUCCCGUGGACUAUCCGUGUUAGGAUAAAAUGGUAUUUUAAAAUAUAUUUAAAUAAUAUUAACUAUUUUAUUAAAAAUUAAAAUACUAAAUUUCAUAAAACAUUGUUUUUGUUUUUUUCUACUUUCCGGUACUAAGUCCCGAUAUGUUCUAAUACCAAUUUUCAAAGAAUAUUUAUUAUUAUUGUAAACUACUGUAAGAAUCAUGUGAUUUUUAAUAGAAUAAUUAUUAAAGCCUUGCUUGAAAGCUUAUCAAAAAUUCUUUCUCAAAAAUAUAAAACUUAUAGAAAAUAAUGGGAAAUUAUAAAAUGGAAUUUUUCUAGCAUCCGAUAAAGGUUCUAAAUUUCUAAUACUCCAUCCAUUUUUAAUGGGCAACUUUUUAAGAUUGUACAUACAAUAUUGUUUUAAACAAAAUUCUGCAUUUUAAACAAAAAAAUCAUAAAUUAUUCAUAUAAUCGUAGUUCGAUCAAUGAUAAAACACAUUACAGAAUACAAAAGAUAAUAUAAUAUAAAAGGCUAAUAAAUUUUGCAUUAAAAUUGAAAACAUCAUCGAUUUUGGAAAACAAAUUCUCUCUAAAACGUUAAAUAUUAAAAUAAACGAAGGAAGUAUAAAUCUAUAAUUUUGAAUUUGGAUUAAAGACUUCACAAAACACAUUAAUAUAUCAUGUGAUUUUAGCUUAGAAACCAUACUUACUAAUUACUAAAACGAAGAUAAGCAAAAGGAUUCGCGAUAUAGAGACAACUACUUGAUUGAUUACAUGUUUAAAACUCAGCUUUAAGUUAACAAUAUACAAUAUAGAGAAAGAGCGAGACGUACCAGAUCUUGGACAACGAAACAAUGAAGAAAAUUUGUAAAUGACCAAGUUUAAUUAGCUGUUUGUUUAAAUCUUAUGAAAAUUUGAAAACAACCUAAAAUGUUCAAUAAAUAAUGAAAAUAAUAGAGUG
rnacentral:lncRNA from 1 species